GGCGGCGUGGAGCAGUGGAAGCUCGUCGGGCUCAUAACCCGAAGGUCGUCGGUUCGAAUCCGACCGCCGCAA
rnacentral:tRNA from 1 species